ACCAGACAUGGAGCGGAACGUGGCCGAUUCCUCCUCCAUCCAGGUCAAAGCCAUGAUUGAUCACUAAUUUCCCUAAUGAAGGUGAAAAAUAAUCUCAGAAGGUGUUUUAACUUUCAGAAGAAGAAAACACAUUUUAUUCAGUCCAGAUCCAGAUGUUUUAUUUCUUACUUUUUUCUGAUGUGGACAUUUGUUGUAUAUAAUUUGAUUCAUGAGAAUCUCUCUUUCUCUCUCUCUCUCUCUCUCUCUUCUUCCUCCGCUCACACACACUCACACCUGUUCCCCAUUAACUAAAUCCUUCCCUGGCUCUCACAUUCCCUCCAGCUGCACUCGCUUCGUAAUCAAGACGACUUUUAUGCCUCCACUGUCGCUCGUGAUGUGCUCUGUUCUGCUCCGUUCUGCUGACGUUCCUCGGACGCCGUGUGAGGAUUCCUCCCUGAGAUCAUGCAGCCUGUGCUGUUUAACCUCCAGUCCUUCGCCGUCUCAUCUUUGUCUGUGGUCAAACGAAAUGCACCCUCGUCUUCCUCCUCGUUUCCUAAAGCAGGCAGCAGGAUUCACAGCACAGAAGACGGAGCUGCAGCUUCAGUCCCACUGGCCACUCGCACUUUAUUAGCAUAAUUAAGUUCCGUCAGCUGGGGUCUUCUCACUUUCAUAUCUGUUGGCGCCUCUGGAGAGUCUGAGGGGAGCUCGCGCUAUCGAAACACGGCCGACUGCUCAUCCCAUUCAUUCUCAUUACCGUGAAGAAGUGUGGUGUCAAGUUCAACACGAAACGAUGAAAAGUUCCAGCACUUUUUGCCUCACAAAUGCUGGACAUCAUUGCUUGGUUAACUUUUACGCCUAUAGUAAAAAUGAGGUCCAAACUACUGCUCCAUCUUAACUAUUAUAUGCUUGUUACUGCCUGUAUUGUUUUGCAUGAGGCUACUUUUUUUUGUUUGGAGCAUUAUUAAAUUCCAUAAAGGC